rnacentral:siRNA from 1 species
GUAGGUUGUGCUAACGUCAAUGGU